rnacentral:tRNA from 1 species
GGGCCGGUAGCUCAGCCUGGAUUCAGAGGGCAAUAGAGCAUCUGACUUUUAAUCAGGUGGUCAAGGGUUCGAAACAGAUGAUAAGCCAUCUGGAGGCUUGGGCGAUUUCGCUUCGCUCAAUCCCCCGGAAACGAUGUUAAUCGUCUGGCGAAAGUCCCUUCCGGCCCG